rnacentral:rRNA from 2 species
AUGGUUAAGUUAGAAAGGGCGCACGGUGAAUGCCUUGGCACUAGGAGCCGAUGAAGGACGGGACUAACACCGAUAUGCUUCGGGGAGCUGUAAGUGAGCUUUGAUCCGGAGAUUUCCGAAUGGGGAAACCCACUGUUCGUAAUGGAACAGUAUCCUUACCUGAAUACAUAAGGUAUUGAUGGCAGACCCGGGGAACUGAAACAUCUAAGUACCCGGAGGAAGAGAAAGCAAAUGCGAUUUCCUGAGUAGCGGCGAGCGAAACGGAAUUAGCCCAAACCAAGAGGCUUGCCUCUUGGGGUUGUAGGACACUCUAUACGGAGUUACAAAGGAAUGAAGUAAAUGAAGCGACCUGGAAAGGUCCGUCGAAGAAGGUAACAACCCUGUAGUUGAAACUUCGUUCCCUCUUGAGUGGAUCCUGAGUACGGCGGAACACGUGAAAUUCCGUCGGAAUCUGGGAGGACCAUCUCCCAAGGCUAAAUACUACCUAGUGACCGAUAGUGAACCAGUACCGUGAGGGAAAGGUGAAAAGCACCCCGGAAGGGGAGUGAAAAAGAUCCUGAAACCGUGUGCCUACAAGUAGUCAGAGCCCGUUAACGGGUGAUGGCGUGCCUUUUGUAGAAUGAACCGGCGAGUUACGAUCCCAUGCAAGGUUAAGCCGAUAAGGCGGAGCCGCAGCGAAAGCGAGUCUGAAUAGGGCGUUUAGUAUGUGGUCGUAGACCCGAAACCAGGUGAUCUACCCAUGUCCAGGGUGAAGUUCAGGUAACACUGAAUGGAGGCCCGAACCCACGCACGUUGAAAAGUGCGGGGAUGAGGUGUGGGUAGCGGAGAAAUUCCAAUCGAACCUGGAGAUAGCUGGUUCUCUCCGAAAUAGCUUUAGGGCUAGCCUCAUGUUGUAAGAGUCUUGGAGGUAGAGCACUGAUUGGACUAGGGGCCCCCAACGGGUUACCGAAUUCAGUCAAACUCCGAAUGCCAAAGACUUAUCCAUGGGAGUCAGACUGCGAGUGAUAAGAUCCGUAGUCAAAAGGGAAACAGCCCAGACCACCAGCUAAGGUCCCAAAGUAUACGUUAAGUGGAAAAGGAUGUGGAGUUGCUUAGACAACCAGGAUGUUGGCUUAGAAGCAGCCACCAUUUAAAGAGUGCGUAAUAGCUCACUGGUCGAGUGACUCUGCGCCGAAAAUGUAUCGGGGCUAAACGUAUCACCGAAGCUGUGGAUUGACAUCUUAGAUGUCAGUGGUAGGAGAGCGUUCUAAGUGCAGCGAAGUCAGACCGUAAGGACUGGUGGAGCGCUUAGAAGUGAGAAUGCCGGUAUGAGUAGCGAAAGACAAGUGAGAAUCUUGUCCACCGAAUGCCUAAGGUUUCCUGAGGAAGGCUCGUCCGCUCAGGGUUAGUCGGGACCUAAGCCGAGGCUGAAAAGCGUAGGCGAUGGCCAACAGGUUGAUAUUCCUGUACCACCUCCCCGCCGUUUGAGUAAUGGGG